AUCAAUGGUAUGGAAAAGCUCAUGUAAUUCUUCUCCACUCAGAACACCAUCUGCAAAAUACGCUUUGAAUUCUUCAAAGGACAAUUUUCCAUCAUCUGAAACGGUAAAUCUGGAUAAGCAGAGAUGGAAGAAACACAUUAAUAACAGAUGAAAGUAAAAGAUCUCUACAUGAUACAGCAGCACAGAAUGUAAGGGAGUGAAUGGACAUGAGCGAAAAGGAAAGCAUCCUUCCUUCUGUGCAAGAAGCUGGUUUGCUAGUUAUUUCAGGAAGCUGCCAGAUGACUUACGUGAUGGAACGAUCCUCUCCCUUUACAAAGAGACAGCAGCGGACUAAGGAGGAGGAACUCAGGGUCACAAAACUCCUGCCGUGUGGUCCUACCAACACUAUACUGAACAAAGUGGAGUUUGUCUUUGAGAAAAAGAUGAUAAGAUUUAGUAGGAUUGGACCUUCAAGACCCGCUGAGCUUAUUUUUUCCUCUAAAGAUGGCCCACAGACCAGUUUAAUUCAGUUAAAAUGUGGAUUCCUGGGCCCUACUAGAGAAUCCGAAUCUCAGAGAGGGCACGGAGGGGUGAGGCAGCGAAGGAAUCAGGAUUUUUCGUGACCUGUGAGACUCUUCCCCACAGUAACGCUUAAAAUAAAGGACACAACAGACUU